UAAGAGAGCAGGCCAGGGAUCCAUCC
rnacentral:misc_RNA from 1 species